rnacentral:misc_RNA from 1 species
GUGAAUGCAAACGCUUGGUCAGCUCUGCUUCGGCAAGCCCCUCGCACCCUUCACAUCCAUAACACCUGUGCACCGUAAGAUGACUCUCUGGCUUCGGCCUCUGGGUUGUCUGACCUUUUAUACAAACAAAUUUUAGUAAACGAAUGUAGUCUUAUUAUAACAAAAUA